rnacentral:sRNA from 1 species
UACACGAUUUUCUUGGUUAAUUGUCCUU